GGGUUGUGAGGUUAAGCGACUAAGCGUACACGGUGGAUGCCCUGGCAGUCAGAGGCGAUGAAGGGCGUGCUAAUCUGCGAUAAGCGCCGGUAAGGUGAUAUGAACCGUUAUAACCGGCGAUACCCGAAUGGGGAAACCCAGUGUGACUCGUCACACUAUCAUUAACUGAAUCCAUAGGUUAAUGAGGCGAACCGGGGGAACUGAAACAUCUAAGUACCCCGAGGAAAAGAAAUCAACCGAGAUUCCCCCAGUAGCGGCGAGCGAACGGGGAGGAGCCCAGAGCCUGAAUCAGCAUGUGUGUUAGUGGAAGCGUCUGGAAAGGCGCGCGAUACAGGGUGACAGCCCCGUACACAAAAGCGCAUGUGCUGUGAGCUCGAUGAGUAGGGCGGGACACGUGGUAUCCUGUCUGAAUAUGGGGGGACCAUCCUCCAAGGCUAAAUACUCCUGACUGACCGAUAGUGAACCAGUACCGUGAGGGAAAGGCGAAAAGAACCCCGGCGAGGGGAGUGAAAAAGAACCUGAAACCGUGUACGUACAAGCAGUGGGAGCNNGUGACUGCGUACCUUUUGUAUAAUGGGUCAGCGACUUAUAUUCUGUAGCAAGGUUAACCGAAUAGGGGAGCCGGAGGGAAACCGAGUCUUAACCGGGCGUUAAGUUGCAGGGUAUAGACCCGAAACCCGGUGAUCUAGCCAUGGGCAGGUUGAAGGUUGGGUAACACUAACUGGAGGACCGAACCGACUAAUGUUGAAAAAUUAGCGGAUGACCUGUGGCUGGGGGUGAAAGGCCAAUCAAACCGGGAGAUAGCUGGUUCUCCCCGAAAGCUAUUUAGGUAGCGCCUCGUGAAUUCAUCUCCGGGGGUAGAGCACUGUUUCGGCUAGGGGGCCAUCCCGGCUUACCAACCCGAUGCAAACUGCGAAUACCGGAGAAUGUUAUCACGGGAGACACACGGCGGGUGCUAACGUCCGUCGUGAAGAGGGAAACAACCCAGACCGCCAGCUAAGGUCCCAAAGUCAUGGUUAAGUGGGAAACGAUGUGGGAAGGCCCAGACAGCCAGGAUGUUGGCUUAGAAGCAGCCAUCAUUUAAAGAAAGCGUAAUAGCUCACUGGUCGAGUCGGCCUGCGCGGAAGAUGUAACGGGGCUAAACCAUGCACCGAAGCUGCGGCAGCGACGCUGAUGCGUUGUUGGGUAGGGGAGCGUUCUGUAAGCCUGCGAAGGUGGCCUGUGAGGGUUGCUGGAGGUAUCAGAAGUGCGAAUGCUGACAUAAGUAACGAUAAAGCGGGUGAAAAGCCCGCUCGCCGGAAGACCAAGGGUUCCUGUCCAACGUUAAUCGGGGCAGGGUGAGUCGACCCCUAAGGCGAGGCCGAAAGGCGUAGUCGAUGGGAAACGGGUUAAUAUUCCCGUACUUGGUGUUACUGCGAAGGGGGGACGGAGAAGGCUAUGUUGGCCGGGCGACGGUUGUCCCGGUUUAAGCGUGUAGGUGUGUGUUCCAGGUAAAUCCGGUUCACUUUAACACUGAGGCGUGAUGACGAGGCACUACGGUGCUGAAGCAACAAAUGCCCUGCUUCCAGGAAAAGCCUCUAAGCAUCAGGUAACAUCAAAUCGUACCCCAAACCGACACAGGUGGUCAGGUAGAGAAUACCAAGGCGCUUGAGAGAACUCGGGUGAAGGAACUAGGCAAAAUGGUGCCGUAACUUCGGGAGAAGGCACGCUGACACGUAGGUGAAGUGAUUUACUCAUGGAGCUGAAGUCAGUCGAAGAUACCAGCUGGCUGCAACUGUUUAUUAAAAACACAGCACUGUGCAAACACGAAAGUGGACGUAUACGGUGUGACGCCUGCCCGGUGCCGGAAGGUUAAUUGAUGGGGUCAGCGCAAGCGAAGCUCCUGAUCGAAGCCCCGGUAAACGGCGGCCGUAACUAUAACGGUCCUAAGGUAGCGAAAUUCCUUGUCGGGUAAGUUCCGACCUGCACGAAUGGCGUAAUGAUGGCCAGGCUGUCUCCACCCGAGACUCAGUGAAAUUGAACUCGCUGUGAAGAUGCAGUGUACCCGCGGCAAGACGGAAAGACCCCGUGAACCUUUACUAUAGCUUGACACUGAACAUUGAGCCUUGAUGUGUAGGAUAGGUGGGAGGCUUUGAAGUGUGGACGCCAGUCUGCAUGGAGCCGACCUUGAAAUACCACCCUUUAAUGUUUGAUGUUCUAACGUGGACCCGUGAUCCGGGUUGCGGACAGUGUCUGGUGGGUAGUUUGACUGGGGCGGUCUCCUCCUAAAGAGUAACGGAGGAGCACGAAGGUUGGCUAAUCCUGGUCGGACAUCAGGAGGUUAGUGCAAUGGCAUAAGCCAGCUUGACUGCGAGCGUGACGGCGCGAGCAGGUGCGAAAGCAGGUCAUAGUGAUCCGGUGGUUCUGAAUGGAAGGGCCAUCGCUCAACGGAUAAAAGGUACUCCGGGGAUAACAGGCUGAUACCGCCCAAGAGUUCAUAUCGACGGCGGUGUUUGGCACCUCGAUGUCGGCUCAUCACAUCCUGGGGCUGAAGUAGGUCCCAAGGGUAUGGCUGUUCGCCAUUUAAAGUGGUACGCGAGCUGGGUUUAGAACGUCGUGAGACAGUUCGGUCCCUAUCUGCCGUGGGCGCUGGAGAACUGAGGGGGGCUGCUCCUAGUACGAGAGGACCGGAGUGGACGCAUCACUGGUGUUCGGGUUGUCAUGCCAAUGGCACUGCCCGGUAGCUAAAUGCGGAAGAGAUAAGUGCUGAAAGCAUCUAAGCACGAAACUUGCCCCGAGAUGAGUUCUCCCUGAGACUUAGAGUCUCCUGAAGGAACGUUGAAGACGACGACGUUGAUAGGCCGGGUGUGUAAGCGCAGCGAUGCGUUGAGCUAACCGGUACUAAUGAACCGUGAGGCUUAACCUUACAACGCCGAAG
rnacentral:rRNA from 1 species